CCCACUUUCCCCUCUCCCUCGCUCGCUUAUCCUCCCCAACGCGAACCCGACGUUGUCGUCGCCAUGGCCAACCUAGCCUGCGUGUUCCUCGUCAUCCUCGCUGGCAAGGAGCUUGUUCAAAAGCUCUGUCUGCCUCUGCUGCUUCCAUUACGAGGUUCGGAUUGAGCCGGGCGCCUUCGCAUCGCGGGGAUCGAGCCCAUCUUCAACCUCCGUUCGCCGCCGUGCGACGCGUCGACCCGCGCGUCUCCGAUAGUCCCCGGCCUCGUCGAGCCUCCAUCAAGCUCCACUACCCCGAGACCGCUGCUGAUGCCCCUGUGAUCGACUACGUCGACGACGACUCUCCUUCUUGUUUGAGCAACCAGAUGGUGGAUCCCUGGAGCCAGAUGCCACCGCCGA